GACGAACGCUGGCGGCGUGCUUAACACAUGCAAGUCGAACGGAAAGGCCCUGCUUUUGUGGGGUGCUCGAGUGGCGAACGGGUGAGUAACACGUGAGUAACCUGCCCUUGACUUUGGGAUAACUUCAGGAAACUGGGGCUAAUACCGGAUAGGAGCUCCUGCUGCAUGGUGGGGGUUGGAAAGUUUCGGCGGUUGGGGAUGGACUCGCGGCUUAUCAGCUUGUUGGUGGGGUAGUGGCUUACCAAGGCUUUGACGGGUAGCCGGCCUGAGAGGGUGACCGGCAACAUUGGGACUGAGAGACGGCCCAGACUCCUACGGGAGGCAGCAGUGGGGAAUAUUGCACAAUGGGCGGAAGCCUGAUGCAGCAACGCAGCGUGCGGGAUGACGGCCUUCGGGUUGUAAACCGCUUUCGCCUGUGACGAAGCGUGAGUGACGGUAAUGGGUAAAGAAGCACCGGCUAACUACGUG
rnacentral:rRNA from 1 species